CGACGGGCUCGCCGAGUGGACUGCGGCGGCCCGCCUCUACCGGACGGUCUUCGGCUACGAGGAGCCGGAGUACGGGUUGAGCCCCCGCCUGCUGGCC
rnacentral:tRNA from 1 species